GAUGAACGCUGGCGGCAGGCCUAACACAUGCAAGUCGAACGGUAGCACAGAGAGCUUGCUCUCGGGUGACGAGUGGCGGACGGGUGAGUAAUGUCUGGGAAACUGCCCGAUGGAGGGGGAUAACUACUGGAAACGGUAGCUAAUACCGCAUAACGUCGCAAGACCAAAGUGGGGGACCUUCGGGCCUCACACCAUCGGAUGUGCCCAGAUGGGAUUAGCUAGUAGGUGGGGUAAUGGCUCACCUAGGCGACGAUCCCUAGCUGGUCUGAGAGGAUGACCAGCCACACUGGAACUGAGACACGGUCCAGACUCCUACGGGAGGCAGCAGUGGGGAAUAUUGCACAAUGGGCGCAAGCCUGAUGCAGCCAUGCCGCGUGUAUGAAGAAGGCCUUCGGGUUGUAAAGUACUUUCAGCGGGGAGGAAGGCGGUGAAGUUAAUAGCUUCACCGAUUGACGUUACCCGCAGAAGAAGCACCGGCUAACUCCGUGCCAGCCGCCGCGGUAA
rnacentral:rRNA from 1 species